rnacentral:tRNA from 1 species
UGCUGGUGUAGCACAGUUGGUAGUGCACGUCACUCGUAAUGACGGGGUCGCAGGUUCAAGUCCUGUCACCAGCAU